UCACUGCUAUCGGGGUUCGAUUAAGCCAUGCGAGUCGAGAGGGUUCGGCCCUCGGCGUACUGCUCAGUAACACGUGGAUAACCUGCCCUAAGGAAGGGGAUAACCUCGGGAAACUGAGGAUAAUACCCUAUAGGAUACCGAUGCUGGAAUGCCCGGUAUCCCAAAGCUCCGGCGCCUUAGGAUGGAUCUGCGGCCGAUUAGGUCGUUGUUGGGGUAACGGCCCAACAAGCCGAUAAUCGGUACGGGUUGUGGGAGCAAGAGCCCGGAGUUGGAUUCUGAGACACGAAUCCAGGCCCUACGGGGCGCAGCAGGCGCGAAAACUUUACAAUGCGGGCAACCGUGAUAAGGGAACCUCGAGUGCCUGUACAUGCAGGCUGUCUGGGUGUCUAAAACACACCCAAAGAAAGGGCCGGGCAAGACCGGUGCCAGCCGCCGCGGUAAUACCGGCGGCUCGAGUGGUGGCCACUUUUAUUGGGCUUAAAGCGUUCGUAGCUGGGUUGUUAAGUCUCUUGGGAAAUCUGGCAGCUUAACUGUCAGGCGUCUAAGAGAUACUGGCAAUCUAGGAACCGGGAGAGGUGAGGGGUACU
rnacentral:rRNA from 1 species